rnacentral:rRNA from 1 species
CACGUAGGGAGCAAGCGUUGUCCGGAUUCAUUGGGCGUAAAGAGCUCGUAGGCGGCUCGGUAAGUCGGGUGUGAAACCUCUGGGCUCAACCCAGAGACGCCACCCGAUACUGCCGUGGCUAGAGUCCAGCAGGGGAGCGUGGAAUUCCCGGUGUAGCGGUGAAAUGCGCAGAUAUCGGGAGGAACACCAGCGGCGAAGGCGGCGCUCUGGGCUGGUACUGACGCUGAGGAGCGAAAGCGUGGGUAGCGAACAGG